UCCCUGGUGGUCUAGUGGUUAGGGCUCAGCACUUUCACUGCUGUGUCCUGGGUUCAAUCUCUGGCCUGGGGA
rnacentral:tRNA from 1 species